UCGCCCUCAUCCAUCUCGUGUCUUCCUCAGCCUCUUCCUCUGCUCAUCCCGACGAUUUGGAGGUCGCGAUCUGGAGGUGUAUCUAUCAAGGGGAUUCCCAAGAUCGCGUAGGAUCUGCAGCUCAGGAGCGCGCGGGCGUCGGGGAAGUAGCGGUAGGAUCUGCAGCCGGACGGGACGGGGCCUGAAGGUCCAGCGCCGCUCUAGACCUCGCGUGGUUGAAGUCGAAGCACCAGUGGCCUCUCCUUGGUUUCACUCUCCUCGCGUAGGAUCUGCUACCAGGAACGCCCGUGAAGCGAGCGCUGCUGCCAGCGAUGUCAGAGAAGCGAGCACUUGUUCUUGCGGCUACCUGCUUGAGAUGUGACCAGAAUCCAUUGAUAUAGUGUACUCGGUGCAUGGCAGCUACCUGCUUCCUCACUUUUUCAUCACAAGUUUGUUUUGGGAUCUUUCGCCUCAAGUUUCAUCUAGCUACCUUCAACAAAUCCUUCAAUCUCCAUGGCUACAUCGAUAUCAAAUCAAUAUACUAACGAGGAGGAAAUUAAAAGGAAGAGAAAGAAGCGAAAGAGAGUUGUUGUAUUAGCUGUGUCUAUUAUGGCUAUAAUUGCAAAUCGGUAUCAACGGAGGAGACCUAGACACAUCAUAGAUGCUAACGAAGUUCAAGAGAGAAAUGUCGAGUGCAGAAAACAAAUGCUAUGUAAUAUGUACCAGGGUUCAAAUGUCUAUUGCUAUGACAGUUUGCGCCUAACUAAGAGAUCUUUUAGUGACUUGAGUGCCAUCUUACGGGAAAAGAGUGGCCUACAGGAUACCCUAAAUGUGUCGGUAGAAGAAAAGCUUACAAUUUUUCUGCUUAUAGUAGGUCAUAACACCAAAAUGAGGUUGAUCCGUAGCACUUAUGGGUGGUCCCUUGAACCAAUCAGUCGACACUUCAACGAAGUGCUUAGAGGGAUUCUAUCUUUAAGUCAUGAGUUCAUCAAGCUUCCUAAUCCAGAAACCACUCUACCUGAGGAUCCAAAGUGGAAAUGGUUUGAGGACUGCCUAGGUGCACUAGAUGGCACACAUAUCGAUGUGAAUGUUCCAUUGACUGACCAAGGUAGGUACAGAAAUAGGAAGCAACAAAUCACCACUAAUGUAUUAGGGGUUUGUGAUCGACAAAUGAAGUUUUUGUAUGUCUUGGCUGGAUGGGAAGGGUCGGCUUCGGAUUCACGCAUACUACGUGAUGCCAUGUCAUGGGAGGACUCAUUUGUUGUUCCUAGUGGUAAAUACUAUCUAGUGGAUGCUGGAUAUACAAAUGGUCCGGGAUUUCUUGCCCCGUACCGAUCUACACGGUACCACUUGAAUGAAUGGGCUAUUCAAGGCAACAAUCCAUCUACUGCGAGAGAGUUAUUCAACCUACGCCAUGCAACAGCUAGGAAUGUGAUAGAGAGAACUUUUGGGCUAUUGAAGAUGAGAUGGGCAAUCUUGAGGACCAGCUCAUAUUUUGAUUUAGAAAACCAGAUUAGGAUCAUCCAUGCUUGCUGCAUAUUGCAUAAUUUUUUAAGGGAUAGACAAAGAGAUAUGGAUGAUAUUCUAAUACAUGAAGUUGAUAGUCUCAUCUCUGCUGCUCCUGCUGAAAAUCAAGGAGAAAUGAGUAUGAUUACGCAUGUUCAAUCAACUAAUGAGUGGGGUUAUUUUAGAGACACCAAAGCUAGUGAAAUGUUUGUUGAUUAUCAAGCGAGGCGUGGUCAAAGCUCAUAGUUGACAAGAAAACAAGGGGCUAUGUUCCUUGGAAUGAUGAGAUGGAUAAGGUACUCCUUGAUACAUUUGUGGACUAUUACAAUAAAGGUGAUAGAUGUCAGAAUGGGUGGAAGUCUCAUGUAUACACAGCUGCUGUGAAGAAUGUUUGUGAGAAGUGUAAUGUCACCAUUACAAAGGAAAAUAUUAGCUCUCGCAGCAAGACCUUUGAUAAGCACUACAAUAUCAUUAAUGGUUUGUUGUCCACUAGUGGUUUUGGAUGGGAUUGGGAGAAGAACAAGCUCAAAGUUGAUAGUGACACUGUAUGGGAUGAGUACGUUGAGAGGAAUAAGGAAGCAAAAGGAUAUAGACAUAAGGUUGUGAAGUUUUGGGAUCUACUCAGCCUAGUGUACAAUAAAGACCAAGCAAAUGGAGAGGGUGCUAAAACAGCAGCUGAAAGUUCAAAGGAAAUGGCAAAAGAGAAUGAUACCGGAGGCAAGGAUGCUCCAUAUUCUGUAUCUUCCUCGAGUAGUUUAAAAAGACAAAGAUCAGAUGAUUCAUUUAACUCUAUAUGGUGUGAUAAGUUCGACAUGCUUACAUCUGCAUUGAAAGAUGACGGUCCAAAGCUACCCUCUUCCGCCGAAGUUCUCGCCGCAUUACAAGAGGUUGAGGGACUUGAUGAAGACACAGAACUUGAGCUUUAUGACAUCCUCACCUCUAAUGCACGCAAGUUUGAGUCGAUGAUGGCACUCCCAAUGGAAAGGAGGAAGAGGUGGCUUAUGAUGCAGCUAAGGAAGUGAAACAACUUAUAUGUGAAC